rnacentral:tRNA from 1 species
GCCGGGGUGGUGGAAUGGUAGACACGGGGGACUUAAAAUCCCCAGGUUGAAAGACCGUGUGAGUUCGAGUCUCAUCCCCGGCA